UACGGAGGAUCCAAGCGUUAUCCGGAAUCAUUGGGUUUAAAGGGUCCGUAGGCGGUUUUGUAAGUCAGUGGUGAAAGCCCAUCGCUCAACGGUGGAACGGCCAUUGAUACUGCAAGACUUGAAUUACUAGGAAGUAACUAGAAUAUGUAGUGUAGCGGUGAAAUGCUUAGAUAUUACAUGGAAUACCAAUGGCGAAGGCAGGUUACUACUAGUGGAUUGACGCUGAUGGACGAAAGCGUGGGGAGCGAACAGG
rnacentral:rRNA from 1 species